GUCUUCGGGAAGCAGCGGGACAGACCGGCUUGCGUCCCUCUGCUUCCAACCUCCUCGCUUUCGUCUUUUCCUUUUCUCCUUUCCAGCCAGCAAGAGGACAGCGUGGGCCCCGUUAGACUGCACACCGGAGGCGCCCUGUACCUCGCCGGAGACCUCAACAGCCGGGGACGUAGUCCUAGUGGCGGGUGGUGGGCCAACCCGGAGUUGGUCCAGAGUCGCCGGCAGUGACGGAAUCCGAACCGUCGGCGGCCGUCGGACGGCGGUAGUCGACCGUCCAAGUGACGUGAACCAAUAGAGGGUAGACCCUAGUUUUCACAUUCGGGGGCACAACCAGUUCAGCCGGCGCCGCCAUGUCCAGUGGAGGUGGAGCCUCGUCCGGCUCGACGACGUGGAAGUCCAAGGCGCAGGGGAUGGCCGCAGGGUCGGAGCACCAUGUCGUCAACCGGAACAGGGCCAUGUCCGCGCGCGUCUGGGUCACCGGGGCGAGGCGCUCGACCCACCCGGUCGGCGCCAGGAUGUUCUCCGACGCCGCCAAGCUCCAAACAUGAGCCGGGAGUCCCUCAAUCUCGACAUUGACGUGAACCCCAGACCGCCGGCGGAGGAGUGAGCGCGACGAGACCACGGCGAAAGGACGAGCCUGAAAGAGGGCGUCUGGACACUCCCAUCAAGCAGCACCCGGUUCCUGGCAGCGCGGUCGGCGAAGAAGAUCAAGAACUUCUCGGGCAUGUGGCCGUGAACCGAAAACUCCUCCGACGAGAUGUCGGAGAUAGAGCAGAGCGCCUCCGCAACAUCCGCCGUCGACACUAACGUGUUGGUGCCAGCAAUCGCCGCGAGGAUUGCCCGUUGGAGGUCAUCUUCUGCCGCGUCGACCUUCGGGGUGCGUGCGAACACCCGCACCGCACGAGCCGGACGAAGGAUGAGCUCGCCGCCCGGGGCCACCGGCCGCGCCGGGAGGAGAGGGGUCACCCUGGUGUCGGAAUCCCGACGGGACGGGCGAGUGGUAGGACGACGAAGGAGCACCGGGACCGGCGCCACGCCACGGUCUCCACGCCCACCCGUCGGCCGGGACGUUCGUAAAUAUACCUCAAAUACUUUUAUCUCCAAAAUUUAUGUGCAAUAUUACUAGUUGUUUAUUCUAAUAAAUCUAAAAUCUAAAAAGAAGAAGAGGCUGCUGCCCAAAAUCUUCCUGGCCCGAAGAGGAUAGCAUCAGUUGGUGUGCAGCCAAGCCAUGGCGGCCGCCGUCCACCACCACCUCCUCCGCCUGCUCUCUCCACCGCCGCCGCGCCCACCCGGCCGCCUCUUCUUCUGGCCCGCACCCCCUCAUCCGCUUCCCGUCCGCCUCCGUUCCUCCCUCCCCGCCCCCUCCUGCCACCGCGCCGCCGUCGCAGAUCAGCAUUUCGUCGACGACGAGUUCGUCGUCGUCACCUUCUACAAGCUGGUUCCCGUCGAGGAUCCCCGCGCCGAGGUGGCCACGCACCUCCACUUCCUCCAGGGACACGACAUACACGGCCGCAUUUACAUGAACGAGCAGGGCAUCAAUGCUCAGUACAGUGGUCCACGCAAAGAUGCAAUGGCAUAUGCGGACUGGCUUAGAAGAGACCAUCGCUUUUCUGAUAUACUCGUCCAAGUUUCGCCAGCGCCAUGUGGGCACGCUUUUCCUCGCUUGAAACUGCGGUACAAACCAUCACUUGUUCAGUUGGAAGGAGGUAGUUGUCAUCUUCCUUUGGUGGAAUCUAGUAUGCGUGCUUCACCACUGACUCCAUCUGAGUGGAGGGAAAAACUUGAAGCUAGGAAACGCCUUGAAAGUGAGCCAGCUGGAGAUACCUCUGGGAGAAAUGUUUUGCUCCUUGAUGUUAGAAACGGCUAUGAAUGGGACAUUGGGCAUUUUGAAGGAGCUAAGAGGCCUAAUGUGGACUGCUUCAGAAGCACUUCGUUUGGGCUGUCGGAGCAAGAGAUGGAUUCGUCGGAUCCUCUACAUGGUGUAGACAAAGAGAAUACAGACAUAUUAAUGUAUUGCACAGGUGGCAUCAGAUGCGAUGUGUAUUCAACAAUUCUUAGGAAGAAGGGGUUUGGAAAUCUGUAUACUUUGAAAGGGGGUGUGUCUAACUAUCUGACGAGUGAAGGAUGUGCGGAGUGGGUGGGCAAUCUGUUUGUGUUUGACGACCGACUGUCCCUGCCACCGGCGAAGUUUGCUGAAGAAGGUGAACGGGAAGAUGCUGCACAAGAACAAGGUGGCAUUGAUACUGGGAGGUCGUCACCGUCGCGCUGGUUGGGCCGGUGCUAUGUGUGUGGAUCGGAGGUGGAGGAGCUGAAGCACCGCAACUGCGCCAGCAUCGACUGCAACCGCCUCUUCCUGUGCUGCAGGUGGUGCUUGGAGGAGCUGAGGGGCUGCUGCUGUUUGGAGUGCAGAAGCGCGCCAAGGCUGCGACCGCUUCUGCCGGGACACCAGAGAUACGACAAGUGGCAUCUCUACCGCGACGCCACCUCCUCAACCUUGCAUAUCUCUAGCUAGCUGCUUGAGCAUCCAGUGCAGUGCAGUGCAGAGUCUCUCCCUGUGUAAUAAUCAAGGGCUUAGCUGAAGUAAAACAGAGAGACAUGAAGGGAACAGGUACAGUUAAUUAAUUAAAGAAGCAUACAUGAUCGAUGGACGCGUCUCUCCCAUACUCCUGAUUAAGCUUUACAGACUGAGCAGUCUUCCUUUGAAGCAGCAGUAGGUGACCCUUUAGCUAUAAUUCCCCAGCUGGUUAGCUUGUCAUGCACCCUAAUCAGAGGGAGAAGAUCCAAAGUCCUGUGCCUUGGAUACAUUUUAUCGUUCUGAUCUGCAGGCAAGCACAGCACAGGUGUCAAAAGCUAGUUAGGUUUUUGGAUUUCAUGACAGCAAGCACAUGCAACUAACUAAUCAUGCAUGGACUAUGAUUCAUCUACCAAUCAGCACUCUCAGGCACUCUGAAUCUUCA